rnacentral:lncRNA from 1 species
AUUUAUACAUCCGGUGAAAUAUCUGGCUCAUUGUUUUAUCUGUGUCGUCACAUUCGUGAAACUAGAUAGCUAUAAACAAAGAUGGUGGAUUGUUAAAAAUAAUAAUACUACCUGAAAGAUAAGUAACAUCUUUCAUUUGUGGUACUACUCGCACAGCAGACAAAAUGACAAAAUUGGAAUUGUUGAAUAUAUUUCUUACGAAGAGAUUAACCGCGGCUGCCGAGGAGAUAUUUGGGGCUGUGAAGGGUACUAUAGUUGAGUACCAGACAGAAAUCGUUCGCUCCAAGGAGGAGAACAAUCGUCUCCGAAAGCUGCUGGAUAUCGCUGUUCAGCGCGUUCUACUUCAAACAGGUGGUUUGACACUUAAAAAAAAAAAA